rnacentral:lncRNA from 1 species
GAGAGCCGGUUCUCAUGCUUAUUUGCUAAAACCAACUAAUCAAGGCAAGGCAAGGCAUUUGGGAAGCUCCUAUUCCACGCCUAGCUUUCCUCCAGUUUCCACGCCUACUUAAAUAGCCUUUUUUUGUUCUGAGGAAAGGAGCUGAAACGCGCAAAAGCUCAUGUCUGCCAAAAUGCCUUGUUGAUUUUUGACUCCCAGAAAUGCUUCGAAUUCUUUGCAUCUGUGGUCAGUGAUUCCACUUUGUGGGAAGGCGUUGCUAUUUCCUUUUUGCUAUCCUUUUUUAUUAUUAUUAUAUACUUUUAUUUUGCUUUAAACAAAUACAUAUAAAUAUAUUUAUAUGUAUUUGCUAUCCUUUUUGUCUAUUGAGAUCGGUUGCAUCCGUGGCUCAGAAAUGAGUGAAGCGCGUGCAGAAACCAGGUGCUUUUUUUUUCUUUUAAAAAAAAUGUUUAGGGGUACUGUCAUUUUCCUACUCAUAUUGAAAUACUGCCCCUCAAUGAGGCCAAACUUAGAUCCACAAAAUGUUUAGGGGUAUGCUUGCCCCUGCGUCCCCCCAGAAAAAAAGCACUGCAGAAACCCAUCAGCUCAUAUGGCUUCAAAGGAGUUUAGACAAACUUAUAUGGCUGUAAUUGCUACUGGACCAUUUUCAUGUUUUUAUUUAUUUAUUUCGACUGCGUCAGACGAACAUGGCUACCUACCUGAAUCUUAUAUGGCUGUGUUCAGUUUCCACUGCAGCCUCUGAAUGCCAGUUUCUGAACACCAGUUUCUGGAAAUCACAAGGCUUGCCAGAGGCAUCUAGUUGGCCACUGUGAGAACAGGAUGCUGGACUAGAUGAGCUAUUAUUGGACUGAUCCAGCGGGACUUAAAAAAAAAAUCUUAAGAAAGAUUUAAGGAAGAGAGGGGCGUUCUUUUGUCCUUCUCUAAAGCUGUGUUUAUCUUAUCUUGAGGCUGCAGAUUCAAAGCAGGAAACGCAUUGAAUUUCCUGACCACCUUCCCCCCCUUCCUUCCCCCCUGGACUGCAAGAAGAUCAUUCUCCAUUCUUACGGAAAUCAGCCCUGAGUGCUCACUGGAAGGACAGAUCGUGAAGCUGAAGCUCCAAUACUUUGGCCACCUCAUGAGAAGAGAAGAUUCCCUGGAAAAGACCCUGAUGGUGGGAAAGAUUGAGGGCACAAGGAGAAGGGGACGACAAAGGACGAGAUGGUUGGACAGUGUUCUCAAAGCUACCAGCAUGAGUUUGAUCAAACUGCGGGAGGCAGUGGAAGACAGGAGUGCCUGGCGUGCUCUGGUCCAUGGGGUAACGAAGAGUCGGACAUGACUAAAUGACUAAACAACAACAAUAAUAUAUUAAAGGGCAAGAUUCUCACCUGGAAGAACCCUUGUCUAGUGUUCCAUGCAUCCGAUUCUCACAGUGCAGGCCAAUGGGCAGCCAGUAAGCAGCCACUCUCCCCACUUCUGAUUCUCAACAAAUGACAUUCAGAGGCAUACUGCCUCUGGCAGCAGAACGAGACUAAACCCAUCAUGGGCAGUAGCCAUUGGUAGCUGUCUCCUCCAUGAAUUUGUCUAAUCCUCUUUUAAAGCUGUUAUGUACUGAGUUGAAUAGGAUCCAAACUGCAGCAGUCUGAUUGGUCCUAGAACAAUAGGAUCCAAAUUGCAGCAGUCUGAUUGGUCCUAGAACAAUAGGAUUCAGAAUGCAGCAAUCUGAUUGGUCCUAGAACAAUGCAGCAGUAUGAUUGGUUGGCAGGAACCACCCAAUCAUGCUCCAGAUAGAAGUGAAUUCACAACCUGAUUGACUUACAGUAGAAAUCCAGAAUUAGCCAAUCAUGUGCAGCCCAUUGUGUAAAUAAUGUAUAUAAAGCAGA